rnacentral:lncRNA from 1 species
UCUGGCGUAAUUAUGGGCUCAGAAUGGGGGAAUGUGAGGUGAUUGGUCCAUGGACAGGCCUGGAAAAAGCCCCAUUUGAUUGGCUAAAAGGCAUCGAAGAAGUUCUCACUCUGAUCAUGGACUCUACCUGGACUGCCAACCCUGUUUUCAGGCUUUAAAUUGUCCUUGGUUUGAAGGUUGAGUUUUACUGGGGACCUGUCCCUGUCUGCCUAGGAAUUUUUCUCCCUCCUGCUGCUAUCAAUCUCCGCUCUGAAAAGGUAUGUUGGAGCAAAUUAGUGUUUAAACACCUGUUCAGAAGAAUUAACAGAUUGCAGUAUAGCAUGAAUACUAUCCCUCUGGUCAUUACUUAUUCUGGCACAUAGGUCUAUAAGGACACUUGAAGCUCAUUACACGUGGUACUCUAUGGAAGGAAGUGUCAAUGCUGUGGAAAACAACUCCGAUAGAGAGAACAUCAUGAGAGCUUGGAAUGAUUACAUCAUUGGCAAUGCCAUCAUUGUUAUAGAAAAGCCAUGAAAGCCAUCAAGCCUGAAACAACAAAUUCCUUCUGGAGAAUACUGUGUAUAGAUGUGCAUGGCUUCACAGGAUUUAUGACUGAGCCAAUCAACGAAAUCAUAAAAGAAGUUGUGCAUAUGGCAAAAAUAAAAAGGUGGGGGUAAAGGGUUUCAAGAUAUGGGUCUUGGAUUAAUUCAGGACCUAAUAAACGCCACACCAGAGAAAUUCACAAUGGAUGACUUGAUGGAGAUGAGUGCUUUCAAACCAGUGCCAGAUGAUGAGGAGGAAGGCAUAGAAGAUGCAGGGCCAGGAAACAAGUUGACUUUAGACACUCUGGGAGGAGGGAUCCAGUUAUUCAAGAAUGCUUUUGACUUCUUUCAUAUGACAUGGACCCUUCUACAAUACAGGCAAUAAGAUUAAAGCAAAUGAUAAAGAAGAAUUAGUACUGUAUAAAAACAUUUUUAGAGAAAUGAGAAGACAGGAAUUCAGAUAGAAAUUAUGAUGUAUUUCUGUAAAGUUACACUGAGUGUGCCUGCUUCUUCUGACUCCUCUUCCAUCUCCUCCAUAUCUUCCACCUCUAUCACCCCUGAGACAACAAGACCAACCCCUCGUCUUCCUCCUCCUCAGCUUAGUUGAUGCGAAAACAACAAGGAUAAAGAUCUUUAUGAUGAUCCACUUCCAC